AUUGAACGCUGGCGGCAGGCUUAACACAUGCAAGUCGAGCGGAGAUGAGGUGCUUGCACCUUAUCUUAGCGGCGGACGGGUGAGCAAUGCUUAGGAAUCUGCCUAUUAGUGGGGGACAACAUUCCGAAAGGAAUGCUAAUACCGCAUACGUCCUACGGGAGAAAGCAGGGGAUCUUCGGACCUUGCGCUAAUAGAUGAGCCUAAGUCGGAUUAGCUAGUUGGUGGGGUAAAGGCCUACCAAGGCGACGAUCUGUAGCGGGUCUGAGAGGAUGAUCCGCCACACUGGGACUGAGACACGGCCCAGACUCCUACGGGAGGCAGCAGAGGGGAAUAUUGGACAAUGGGGGGAACCUUGAUCCAGCCAUGCCGCGUGUGUGAAGAAGGCCUUAUGGUUGUAAAGCACUUUAAGCGAGGAGGAGGCUACUGAGACUAAUACUCUUGGAUAGUGGACGUUACUCGCAGAAUAAGCACCGGCUAACUCUGUGCCAGCCGCCGCCGUAA
rnacentral:rRNA from 1 species